rnacentral:tRNA from 1 species
CCUGGUGGCUCAGAGGUUAAAGCGUCUGCCUGGAAUGCAGGAGACCCAGGUUCGAUCCCUGAGUCAGG